GACGAACGCUGGCGGCGUGCUUAACAUAUGCAAGUCGAACGGAAAGGCCCUGCUUUUGUGGGGUGCUCGAGUGGCGAACGGGUGAGUAACACGUGAGUAACCUGCCCUUGACUUUUGGAUAACUUCAGGAAACUGGGGCUAAUACCGGAUAGGAGCUCCUGCUGCAUGGUGGGGGUUGGAAAGUUUCGGCGGUUGGGGAUGGACUCGCGGCUUAUCAGCUUGUUGGUGGGGUAGUGGCUUACCAAGGCUUUGACGGGUAGCCGGCCUGAGAGGGUGACCGGCCACAUUGGGACUGAGAUACGGCCCAGACUCCUACGGGAGGCAGCAGUGGGGAAUAUUGCACAAUGGGCGGAAGCCUGAUGCAGCAACGCCGCGUGCGGGAUGACGGCCUUCGGGUUGUAAACCGCUUUCGCCUGUGACGAAGCGUGAGUGACGGUAAUGGGUAAAGAAGCACCGGCUAACUACGUG
rnacentral:rRNA from 1 species